AUCUCAGUAUUAUAAAAUGUAAUAUAACACUUACAAAAGUAAAAAUUAAAAACCAAAUAUUAGGGGCAGACAUUCAGUGUAAAAGUUUAAACAAUAACAAUCAUAAGAAAUGGAUAAAACAUUACAAGUGCUCUGACCUUUGCAUCUCAAUAUAUCGAAAUAUCACCUGAGAAUGAAAAGAAUUUUUCAUUGUCCUUCUUGGAAGUAACUAGUGAUAUGUUGCUAACCUUAACUGCAUGUUAUUAUCUGUAAGAAAUCAAAACAGAGUCAACUUGGAAAUUAAUUUCUCAAUGAUGGGAUUUGUCACUAAUGAAAUAACAAAGGACAGUGUCAGUGGGGAAGAGAUAAGAAUUGCUUUGAAGUAUUAACCUAAAGUAACCAAAAUUGUAAUAAAACAGAAAACACAAUUUGCCAAACAUAAGAAAAUUGAGAUAGUUUUGUUUUCCAGUCAUUUUGGGUCCCCAAUUGUAUGAACUUGGAAUUGGAAUUUGAAUCUCUAAUAAUUGUGAGGAAAUACAUGCUUUUGGAAUUCUUCAAGCUAUUAAAUGCUUUGCCUUUUCAUUAAGUAAUUUCUGUUUUAAUUCCUUAAUCAUGAGUUUUUAAAUGCUGUUAUUAUUUUUAGCACAGGAUUUACCCUUAAAGGUGGGCAAAUUCCUAUUGCUUGUGACCACGAAUUCCCUCUGGAAACACAAUAUUUGAUUUCUGGAUCAUGCAUGUAUCCUACAAUCCUAACCAAUGUUACUAUGUGAAAAUUUGUUCCUCACGCCUAGCACAUGAUAAUCCAAUUUGGU
rnacentral:lncRNA from 1 species